rnacentral:rRNA from 1 species
GGAUUAAUUUAUUGGUCGUGCUAUUGUACGUACUGGUAUUAUUGAUUCCUACCUUCUGACGAACCAUGAUGUCAUUAAUUUGGUGUCAUGGGGAAUCAGGACUGUUACUUUGAAAAAAUUAGAGUGUUUAAAGCAGGCUCACGCUUGAAUACAUUAGCAUGAAAUAACGAAAUAGGACGUUUGAUUCUAUUUUUUUGGUUUCUAGGACCGCCGUAAUGAUUAAUAGGGAUAGUUGGG